UACGGAGGGUGCAAGCGUUAAUCGGAAUUACUGGGCGUAAAGAGCUCGUAGGUGGUUUGUCGCGUUGUCCGUGAAAACUCACAGCUCAACUGUGGGCGUGCGGGCGAUACGGGCAGACUGGAGUACUGCAGGGGAGACUGGAAUUCCUGGUGUAGCGGUGGAAUGCGCAGAUAUCUGGAGGAACACCGGUGGCGAAGGCGGCAUCCUGGACCAAGACUGACACUGAAAAGCGAAAGCCAGGGGAGCAAACGGG
rnacentral:rRNA from 1 species